AUGGAAUUUCCACCAACCCACUACCCAGCCUCCAAGGCAGCUGAUGACAAAGGACUGCCUCAACUACCAGUAGGGAGCACUUUAUAAGGUGUUUCUGGUGUAGCCGGUCAGACAAGCCAACAAGGAGGAUACUCGGGGAAGAGGACACAAGUGUCACCUUAAAUUUUCUGGGGAAGAAAUGAUUCAAAAACAAGUUACAGUGAGCUGCACAGCUGAAGUAUUUUGCCCCGCAGUAGAACAAGAUAUUGCCCCAGAAAUCAACUUCACAUUUGAAGGAGAAAUUGGAAAGAACCCAGAUGAAGAAGAUAACACAUUUUCUCAAGACUUGAGUCCAUAAAGGAACCACUAGAAGCACAAAACAUUCCAGACAGUUUGGGAAAUGUAUCACCAGAAAUGAAGCCAGUUUGACAUUUAGCCUGGGUGGCCUUUGUUUAUACAAUAUGGCAGAACUCUACCAAAAACACAUGGUAUAAAUUGGUAAAAAUUCAAACUGUCAAGCAAGUGCAAAGAAAUGAUGACUUCAUUGAAUUAGACUACACCAUCUACUGCAUUACAUCGCAUCUCAAGAGAUUAUUCCUUGGCAAAGGCAAGUUCUCUGGCAACAACAAUACAGUACUAAAGUAAAACACAAUAGCUGUCUGCCAAAGAAAGUACAACUGGAAUAAACAGAACCCCUAAUGCUGGGACAAAGUAUAAACACGCCUAUUAAUGAUGAGUUUGCCAGUCUUCACUGGUAUCUAGCUUAAGGGGCCAAACAUAUCCCAAAGUGUCACUUUGUAUUAAUGUCUUGAUUAUCGGAUAAAGCUAUGUAGAUUCCAUAAUACAAAGUGUCACUACAUAAAAAUGUCUUUGUAACAGUAAUAGUGCUAUGUAUAUCCCAAAAUAAAAAGUUUCUAUUUCAGCCUCAA